rnacentral:rRNA from 1 species
GACGAACGCUGGCGGCGUGCUUAACACAUGCAAGUCGAACGGAAAGGCCCUGCUUGCAGGGUACUCGAGUGGCGAACGGGUGAGUAACACGUGGGUGAUCUGCCCUGCACUUCGGGAUAAGCCUGGGAAACUGGGUCUAAUACCGGCUAGGAGCCAUUUUUAGUGUGAUGGUUGGAAAGUUUUUUCGGUGUAGGAUGAGCUCGCGGCCUAUCAGCUUGUUGGUGGGGUAAUGGCCUACCAAGGCGGCGACGGGUAGCCGGCCUGAGAGGGUGGACGGCCACAUUGGGACUGAGAUACGGCCCAGACUCCUACGGGAGGCAGCAGUGGGGAAUAUUGCACAAUGGGCGCAAGCCUGAUGCAGCGACGCCGCGUGGGGGAUGACGGCCUUCGGGUUGUAAACUCAUUUCGCUAGGGACGAAGCUUUUUGUGACGGUACCUAGAUAAGAAGCACCGGCUAACUACGUG